rnacentral:rRNA from 1 species
AAUAUUGCGCAAUGGAGGAAACUCUGACGCAGCGACGCCGCGUGAGCGAUGAAGGUCUUCGGAUCGUAAAGCUCUGUCCUUGGGGAAGAAGAUCGAAAGAUUUGACGGUACCCGAGGAGGAAGCCCCGGCUAACUACGUGCCAGCAGCCGCGGUAAUACGUAGGGGGCAAGCGUUGUCCGGAAUUAUUGGGCGUAAAGGGUGCGUAGGCGGCCAAUUAAGUCAGAUGUGAAAUACCACGGCUUAACCGUGGGGGUGCAUUUGAAACUGUUUGGCUUGAGUGCAGGAGAGGAAAGCGGAAUUCCUAGUGUAGCGGUGAAAUGCGUAGAGAUUAGGAGGAACACCAGUGGCGAAGGCGGCUUUCUGGACUGUAACUGACGCUGAGGCACGAAAGCGUGGGUAGCGAACA